GGACUACCAGGGUUUCUAAUCCUGUUUGCUCCCCUGGCUUUCGUGCCUCAGUGUCAGGUGUCGUCCAGAGACUCGCCUUCGCCACUGGUGUUCCUCUCGAUAUCUACGCAUUUCACUGCUACACCGAGAAUUCCAGUCUCCCCUCCGACCCUCUAGCCGGAUAGUAUUCAAUGCCAUUUCGGAGUUGAGCUCCGAGCUUUCACACCGAACUUACCCGGCCACCUACGCACCCUUUACGCCCAGUGAAUCCGAACAACGCUUGGGACCUCUGUAUUACCGCGGCUGCUGGCAC
rnacentral:rRNA from 2 species